rnacentral:rRNA from 1 species
AGUGAACGCUGGCGGUAGGCCUAACACAUGCAAGUCGAACGGCAGCACAGGAGAGCUUGCUCUCUGGGUGGCGAGUGGCGGACGGGUGAGGAAUACAUCGGAAUCUACUUUUUCGUGGGGGAUAACGUAGGGAAACUUACGCUAAUACCGCAUACGACCUACGGGUGAAAGCAGGGGAUCUUCGGACCUUGCGCGAUUGAAUGAGCCGAUGUCGGAUUAGCUAGUUGGCGGGGUAAAGGCCCACCAAGGCGACGAUCCGUAGCUGGUCUGAGGAUGAUCAGCCACUCUGGAACUGAGACACGGUCCAGACUCCUACGGGAGGCAGCAGUGGGGAAUAUUGGACAAUGGGCGCAAGCCUGAUCCAGCCAUACCGCGUGGGUGAAGAAGGCCUUCGGGUUGUAAAGCCCUUUUGUUGGGAAAGAAAUCCAGCUGGUUAAUACCCGGUUGGGAUGACGGUACCCAAAGAAUAAGCACCGGCUAACUUCGUGCCAGCCGCCGCCGUAA